GUACAUCACUCCACCCCCUAGUGAGCGCCGCGGGAUGCCUCCCAGAAGCGGCCUCUUGGACGGGCCGGAGCACUUCUCGGGGUAUGAGGCCUGAAGAGCCUUCCAGAGAACUUAACCUCAGGGGAAGAAGCCAUCCAGUGUAACACUGCCACCAGUUGCAUGAAGCCUCUCUAGAUUCCACCUGCUUCAUACAAAUUAUCCCUCUCCGCUGUGCUCUGAGGACCAGGAGGUUGACCUCUGCAUAUUGACAGCACCACCCAUAUUGACG